rnacentral:misc_RNA from 1 species
GAGUGACCCUUGGCCCAGUUGUUUCCGGCACCAGACUGACCGAAGACGACGUUAUCGGGGCGGAAGAGCUGACCAAAAGGACCGGCGCGGACAGCAUCGAGAGCGGCGGGCUCAAGAUCAACAAGAACCGCACGGGGAACGUAUUUUUUGCUUGAGGCCUUUGCCUCCAAUGAGUUAGUAUGCUGCUGAAGGGAAGGGUCUUGGUCGUGCACACCUCGUUGAAGUAGACAUUCAUGCGCUCCAAUUGGAGGUCAGAAGAUCCGGUGUAGCUAUAGAAAUCCCAGUUGUCAACGUUCAAGUCCCUCAAGACCGGAACUUUUUCUUGCAGAAUCACUCACUGGCCGGAUCCAUCGAGACCGUGCUCACCAGCAAUGGUUUGCCUGUAAACCAAGUCAGUAACAACUCGACACGAAAUAUACAAUUAUGCUGCAACGCAUGAAUGCUCACCAGAAAGCAGCACCGA